CUUUGUGUUUGUGCUAAUUGGCCAGAAGUAAACCAAUAUAGACACACACAGAAGAAUUUACAUCCCAUACAAUCCCCGGCACAGUGUGGAGGUGCUGCAUUGUUAGUGCCUUUGAGAAAAGGUUGGAGAGAAAAGGUGAUGCUUAUAAAGGGCUGAUGUCCAGGGAAAGUGACAAGUGAGUUCAGGAGCAAAGUUUACGCCAAAGAAGGGGAGACACAAUGAAGACCUCCUUCCAGUUGAAGAAGACAAUGGCAUCGGUCUGUUGGAGAGGAAACCAAGAUUAUAAAAAUGAUGCGCAAAUAUUUGUAGAAAAAGCAAAUUAAAACAGAGAUCGCCUGUUGAAAUAAAGCCUUUGGGGAGUCGCGCGAGCAAUGAAAGGAAUGUAUGAAAAGAAACUGACAUGGGCAAACAUUGGCCAUUACUCAACUUUCAGUUCAUUCACCUCAAUGUAUGGAAAAUUUGCACUGGAAAUAAGCUGAAAUGAGAGGGAAUAAUGUUACCCCAGCUUUGAAAAGUAAGGAUUCAGGCAUCAAACUCUACGAUCACUUAGAAAAAUAAAACAGGGGGCGCAUUCAUAUUUUUUAUAAGGAUAUAUGUUUUGGGCUCUUGUGCUUUAUACUGUGGAAGGGCAUGCUCCUCUAAAGGCACAUUGAGAACAAAAGUCACAUGACUUUGUGUUUAGCAAAAUAAAUCCAAAUUCAGGCAAUCAGACAAAUCCCAAAAUAAAUAAAUCCAGGACUUGGUGGUACCUAUAACAUUCUCCAGGUUGGCUGACCCAACGUACUUUUGGUCAGUUGGGCAGUCAUUUAUCAAAUAUGACCAUCUGAUGCCAUCAGGGUCCAGUUGAAUUUGGACUGCCAAAAAAAGGGGCAUCCUGUGACACGAUUGGGUGGAUCACUCGUGAAGUAGUGGGGAGCAGUCAGACAUCAAUCAAGGUUCAAUAACUAAUAGAAAACCCACAUGGAGAAACAGAGGACAUACAAAGACAAAUAGAGUAGAUAGAGCCAUGGACAAAAUUCAGGAGACAAAAAUAGGGGAAGCAGAUCCUGCUAAGGGCCCAGUUGGAAGGUGCAGUGAAUAGGUCAUCUUUCCAACAUUUUCGUGGGUUAUUAAAA